UUUCGCUUGUGGGUGUUGUAUAAGCUUGCGUCUUUACUUACAUCUUGGUAAGUGCCUGGAAAAAAUAAGCCAGACCUUCAAAAGACUGUUCAACCACCACAAACAUCACAAGAUAUCAGAGCUGCAUCAAGCGUUGAUUUAGUUCUAGAAAAAGGCAAUUACAGUGAACUACGAAAAGGUUCAAGAUGGAUUGCACCUGUGUCAUGUGGGGUCUGAUUUGGCUGAUCAUACUCUUCUUUCUUGGAUGGCCCAUAAGCAUAUUCUUAGGAGGACUGUAUGGAUUCUUCUCUCCUUUAACGACUUUGAUAGGUCUUGAUGACGUCAGUGAAAUUUUGUUGAGGGGGGUAAAUCUGGGGCGGCAGUGUGCUAAGAAUGUCCACAAUGGGAAGCCUCUCUGUUAACAGUGAAACUCAGCCAGCAAGAAUUUUUCUGUGUUCAGUAGUGGGUUUCACAACUGUUUAGUUAUAUUGAAAAUGUUCCUAUUUCUGUCAAAACAUACACAAACUAUUCAUGGUUUAGAGAAUAUAUGAUUUACAAUUGGCAUUCUGUAAAUAACUGAAUGUCGACAUGUUUUAUUGGAAGCUUCCAAUCCUAUUUGUAUUACUUUUAUCUGCAAGUUAAUGUACUGGAACUGUUGAAUUCUAAACCAAAACCUCAGAUUUCUGUCAGAUUGAUGUUAGAAUAGAAUGCCAGAUUCUCAAUUCCUAAAGAUCCAAGAACUUGGAUAUGUUGCAUCCUUCUGAUGGGAAAAGUUGGUUUUCUGGCUUUUGCUUUGUCUCAUGCAUUAUUUAUAAUUCAGUGCUGAGCUGCUCAUUGAAGCUAAUGUUUCAUUGCUAUAUGCUGUUACUAAUAUAUAAAUUUAUAUGUAUUAAUAACUUCAUUGUAUAUUAUAUUUAACUUUGCUGUGAAUAUUCUUUAGAAGUCAUCACUGUUGUGUUGGUUCUCGUAUAUUAUAAUUGUUCAAGUAUGCUAUAAUACAUUAGUUAUAAUAAACCCCUAAUAA